rnacentral:rRNA from 1 species
UACGUAGGUGGCAAGCGUUGUCCGGAAUUAUUGGGCGUAAAGCGCGCGCAGGCGGUCCUUUAAGUCUGAUGUGAAAGCCCACGGCUCAACCGUGGAGGGUCAUUGGAAACUGGGGGACUUGAGUGCAGGAGAGAAGAGUGGAAUUCCUGGUGUAGCAGUGAAAUGCGUAGAUAUCAGGAGGAAUACCGAUGGAGAAGGCAGGUCUCUGGGCUGACACUGACGCUCAUGCACGAAAGCGUGGGGAGCAAACAGG